CUUGGACUGCUGCAGGGCGUCCUCCAGGUCCCCAAGCUUCUGCCGUGCAUCCUGAAGGGCCUGCUCUCCUCUCUCCUCUGCAUCCGAAAUGGCCACAUGCAUCUGCUCAAGCUGCCCAGGGGACGGUCGCAGAGAAGAACGGAAUGGGAGCCUCUGGAUGGUGCGGUUGAGCUCAGCGAUCUCCAUCUUGCUGUUCUUCAGCUCGUCUCCGUGUCUUCCCGCCGAGAUCUGGAGCUCCUGGUACUGAGAACAAAGACGGCAUCAUGGUCAGCCUGCUGCACUGCAGGAGGCCCUCCUUGAGGGAUCCUCCACGACAUCCUGCAUGUUCCUAACUUCACUGUUCUGGCGCAUCUGCUCGGUGUUGAGGAAAUCCACCUGCCUCCGC